CAGCUUACAGCAAUGCUUCUAGACGCAAUGGAGGUUGCAGUGAAUAUGCAGCCAGUCGUCCUCCAGGCGACUGUCUUGAGACCCAGGGAUGGUACAACAUUUGUCGCAAACCUGAAAGUAGUGGAAUGCGCCCCUGGUGAAUGCCAUGUGUUGUUCAGAAACAGAUGGAGACUGCCGCUGCCAAAAGAGUAUUGGUGGGGCCCAAUUGAAUGGCAUGAUUACUCCGACUAAUUUUCAGCAGCCGACUCACAUUGUUUGAUAACUUUCCUUUUACGGAUGGAGUAUUACAGCAUUCUUAGCGAAAAGAGUAUUACGCGGGCUUUGCCGUGGUACAUCAAUGGCAUGCCAGACUGAGGAUAACCUUGACAAUUUCCAAACAAGGCAUGGCAACGCGAGAAAUGCUACAACUACGCGCUGAUUCAUACCGAAUGAAGUUACGUGCUAAGCUGUGAAACCUUGAUUAGAAAUCAGGAGGGAGUGGGACCCACACUAACAAUCAGGGGAAGGGGGG